AGGAUGAACGCUGGCGGCGUGCUUAACACGAUGCAAGUCGAACGGAGUUUUAACGGAAGUUUCGGAUGGAAGUUUAAGAACUUAGUGGCGGACGGGUGAGUAACGCGUGGGUAACCUGCCUCAUACAGGGGGAUAACAGUUAGAAAUGACUGCUAACACCGCAUAAUAUAGCGAAACCGCAUGAUUUUGCUAUCAAAUAUUUAUAGGUAUGAGAUGGGCCCGCGUCUGAUUAGCUAGUUGGUGGGGUAAAAGCCUACCAAGGCGACGAUCAGUAGCCGGCUUGAGAGAGUGACCGGCCACAUUGGGACUGAGACACGGCCCAAACUCCUACGGGAGGCAGCAGGUGGGGAAUAUUGGACAAUGGGGGAAACCCUGAUCCAGCGAACCGCCGCGUGAGUGAAGAAGUAUUUCGGUAUGUAAAGCUCUAUCAGCAGGGAAGAUAAUGACAGUACCUGACUAAGAAGCCCCGGCUAACUACGUGCCAGCCGCAGC
rnacentral:rRNA from 1 species